AGUGAACGCUGGCGGUAGGCCUAACACAUGCAAGUCGAACGGCAGCACAGUAAGAGCUUGCUCUUACGGGUGGCGAGUGGCGGACGGGUGAGGAAUACAUCGGAAUCUACUUUUUCGUGGGGGAUAACGUAGGUAAACUUACGCUAAUACCGCAUACGACCUACGGGUGAAAGCAUGGGAUCUUCGGACCUUGCGCGAUUGAAUGAGCCGAUGUCGGAUUAGCUAGUUGGCGGGGUAAAGGCCCACCAAGGCGACGAUCCGUAGCUGGUCUGAGAGGAUGAUCAGCCACACUGGAACUGAGACACGGUCCAGAGUCCUACGAGAGGCACCAGUGGGGAAUAUUGGACAAUGGGCGCAAGCAUGAUCCAGCCAUACCGCGUGGGUGAAGAAGGCCUUCGGGUUGUAAAGCCCUUUUGUUGGGAGAGAAAAGCAGCAGGUUAAUACCACGCUGUUCUGACGGUACCCAAAGAAUAAGCACCGGCUAACUUCGUG
rnacentral:rRNA from 1 species